rnacentral:lncRNA from 1 species
UGAAAAAAUUCAAAAUGACCGGCUUGGCGUAUACAUUCAGGGGAGGGCGAGUGAACUGGCUAGGAACAUGGCGACUGCAUUGCGAGUGCUUUGCAUGCGCGAUAUUCCCAAUACUGGGAUACCGGAUCUUGGAGUCUGCAUAUACAUGAGCUCGUCUUGGUUAGGUUAGGCUAUACAGUCUAUAUAUAGAUAUGCUAUAUAUACAGUAUGUACUCAAGCUAAGAUCGACUGCUAUCUGGAUCGUAGCAGUGACAUGUAGUCAUGCAUUAGUAUACAGAGCUAAGUAUAUGUCUUGUGUUUUGUGAAUCAUGAAUGUUUGCAAUUUUAUAACCUGCAUGUAUAAUAAACACGUUGUUUUAUUACAACAGCAUACCACCUGUAUAUCAAUACAUAGUCACACCACGUGAAAUCUCCAUCACAACUGGUGUAUUCUUGUUAUUAUUUGAAGUACACUCACAGCAUCCGUUCACAUAGCCUUGGCUUGUAUACUUGUUCAAUAUAUGAAUCAUUGUUUUUGUCGUACUUGAGACUGGCGUGGCGGAAGGUCUUUUAUGCACACAUUGGUCAGGAAAUGCCAGUUUUCAGUAACUUUCCUUUUCACAUUUGAUAAGACAAACUGUCAAAUUAAAGCAACGGAAGGCUUUAUAGUUGUAUUGUCUUUGUGUGGACUACGGCAUUGUCUUACUGGUAGGCGACCAAUAAAAGAGCAUUCAUAGUGUUGGACUAUUAAUUGAUUGUAGUUCCUUUGUUCACCAUUGUUCACGAUAAGCAGUUCAUCUUAUAGUCGAGAAUAUGAACGAAUUCUAAAUGAACGAACAACAGUUAAUACACGUGUUCAGCGAUCUAGUCAUGAUAACUACAGGUAAAUAGAUCAAUAUACUUUGUAUUAGGCCUAAUAGAUGUUGUUUCAAUGACACUGUAAUGUAUAUACUAAUACAGGUAUUUGUUUCAAAAAUUAAUUCUUGACUGCACACUUCAAUUUUAUAACGGCGAGCUAGCUAUUAAAUGCUGAACUUUAGUGCCAAUAACAUUGCAUGCUCAGUUGUCGAAAUGGCAAUGUCCAAUGGCAAUGAUUAGUGGCCUCCUUUUACCGUUUUGAUUGAUGAGGUCAUUAUAUAAUGCCAAUGGAUCUUAUAGACAUACGUGAUAGGCUACGGUAGCUACAUGCCGUUUUUUUAUCGUAUCAGAGCCUCUCUCAUCCGCAGAGGCGAUUGGAAUGGGCUUACAUGAAUGGAAUAGGCUUACAUAUGAAUCUUGAAACGUAAGCGCGCACGAAACUUCAUGUAAUGUAAGCCUAUUCCAUUCAUGUAAGCCUAUUCCAAUCGCCUCUGCGGAGGAGAGAGUAUCAGAGCUAUACGAUCCUAUAUAAAUAUAUUAAUAUUACAUGGUAUCCAUAUACAGAUCGAUGCAUUGGCACGUUCCAGACGUGAAAUAAAAACAUAUUUUAAUUCAAGUUUUGGACUGCGGCUACUACAAUUGUGAAUUGCUCACAAUAAUAUUGUAGCUAUCACGGCCACGGGAAUAUUUUCAUAAAAUACACAACAACGGUAACUCUGAAUAUUGAAAGCAUUUCUAUUUUCAAAUUAUUUUGAAAAUAAAAAUGCUUUCAAUAUACUGUUGUUGUGUAUGACACCGUACUGUCAGGGG